UACGGAGGAUGCGAGCGUUAUCCGGAUUCAUUGGGUUUAAAGGGUGCGCAGGCGGGCCUUUAAGCCGGCGGUGAAAUCGCGGGGCUCAACCCCGCCGAGCCGUCGGAACUGGGGGCCUUGAGUGCGGCGGAGGCAUGCGGAAUGCGCGGUGUAGCGGUGAAAUGCAUAGAUAUCGCGCAGAACCCCGAUUGCGAAGGCAGCGUGCCGUGCCGCCACUGACGCUGAGGCACGAAAGCGCGGGGAUCGAA
rnacentral:rRNA from 1 species